rnacentral:rRNA from 1 species
CCUACGGGCGGCUGCAGUGGGGAAUAUUGCACAAUGGGCGCAAGCCUGAUGCAGCCAUGCCGCGUGUGUGAAGAAGGCCUUCGGGUUGUAAAGCACUUUCAGCGGGGAGGAAGGCGUUAAGGUUAAUAACCUUGGCGAUUGACGUUACCCGCAGAAGAAGCACCGGCUAACUCCGUGCCAGCAGCCGCGGUAAUACGGAGGGUGCAAGCGUUAAUCGGAAUUACUGGGCGUAAAGCGCACGCAGGCGGUCUGUCAAGUCGGAUGUGAAAUCCCCGGGCUCAACCUGGGAACUGCAUUCGAAACUGGCAGGCUAGAGUCUUGUAGAGGGGGGUAGAAUUCCAGGUGUAGCGGUGAAAUGCGUAGAGAUCUGGAGGAAUACCGGUGGCGAAGGCGGCCCCCUGGACAAAGACUGACGCGCAGGUGCGAAAGCGUGGGGAGCAAACAGGAGUAGAUACCCCGGUAGUC